GCGCCAGACUCCUACGGGAGGCAGCAGUGGGGAUUAUUGGGCAAUGGGCGCAAGCCUGACCCAGCAACGCCGCGUGAAGGAAGAAGGCUUUCGGGUUGUAAACUUCUUUUAAGAGGGAAGAGCAGAAGACGGUACCUCUUGAAUAAGCUCCGGCUAACUACGUGCCAGCAGCCGCGGUAAUACGUAGGGAGCGAGCGUUGUCCGGAUUUACUGGGUGUAAAGGGCGUGCAGCCGGGAGUACAAGUCAGAUGUGAAAUCCCGCGGCUCAACCGCGGAACUGCAUUUGAAACUGUAUUUCUUGAGUACUGGAGAGGCAGGCGGAAUUCCUAGUGUAGCGGUGAAAUGCGUAGAUAUUAGGAGGAACACCAGUGGCGAAGGCGGUCUGCUGGACAGCAACUGACGGUGAGGCGCGAAAGCGUGGGGAGCAAACA
rnacentral:rRNA from 1 species